AUUGAACGCUGGCGGCAGGCUUAACACAUGCAAGUCGAGCGGGGUGAUGGUGCUUGCACUAUCACUUAGCGGCGGACGGGUGAGUAAUGCUUAGGAACCUGCCUAUUAGUGGGGGACAACAUUCCGAAAGGAAUGCUAAUACCGCAUACGCCCUACGGGGGAAAGCAGGGGAUCUUCGGACCUUGCGCUAAUAGAUGAGCCUAAGUCGGAUUAGCUAGUUGGUGGGGUAAAGGCCUACCAAGGCGACGAUCUGUAGCGGGUCUGAGAGGAUGAUCCGCCACACUGGGACUGAGACACGGCCCAGACUCCUACGGGAGGCAGCAGUGGGGAAUAUUGGACAAUGGGCGGAAGCCUGAUCCAGCCAUGCCGCGUGUGUGAAGAAGGCCUUUUGGUUGUAAAGCACUUUAAGCGAGGAGGAGGCUACCUGGAUUAAUACUCUAGGAUAGUGGACGUUACUCGCAGAAUAAGCACCGGCUAACUCUGUGCCAGCCGCCGCCGUAAUAC
rnacentral:rRNA from 1 species